rnacentral:rRNA from 1 species
UUUUAUGGCGAGUUUGAUCCUGGCUCAGAGCGAACGCUGGCGGCGUACUUAACACAUGCAAGUCGAACGAGGAUCGCGGUGUGAGCAAUCAUAUCGCGGUCCUAGUGGCGUACGGGUGAGUAACACGUGGGUAACCUGCCCUUGAGACCGGGAUACCCUUUCGAAAGGGAGGCUAAUACCGGAUACGUUCCCCGGGUCGCGAGAUCUGGGGAGGAAAGGCGGCGCAAGCUGCCGCUCUUGGAGGGGCUCGCGGCCUAUCAGCUAGUUGGUGAGGUAA